CCUACGGGAGGCAGCAGUGGGGAAUUUUGGACACUGGGCGCAAGCCUGAUCCAGCAAUGCCGCGUGAGUGAAGAAGGCCUUCGGGUUGUAAAGCUCUUUUGUCAGGGAAGAAACGGUGGGGGCUAAUAUCUCCUACUAAUGACGGUACCUGAAGAAUAAGCACCGGCUAACUACGUGCCAGCAGCCGCGGUAAUACGUAGGGUGCAAGCGUUAAUCGGAAUUACUGGGCGUAAAGCGUGCGCAGGCGGUUUUGUAAGUCUGUCGUGAAAGCCCCGGGCUCAACCUGGGAAUUGCGAUGGAGACUGCAAGGCUUGAAUCUGGCAGAGGGGGGUAGAAUUCCACGUGUAGCAGUGAAAUGCGUAGAGAUGUGGAGGAACACCGAUGGCGAAGGCAGCCCCCUGGGUCAAGAUUGACGCUCAUGCACGAAAGCGUGGGGAGCAAACAGGAUUAGAUACCCUGGUAGUCCACGCCCUAAACGAUGUCUACUAGUUGUCGGGUUUUAAUUAACUUGGUAACGCAGCUAACGCGUGAAGUAGACCGCCUGGGGAGUACGGUCGCAAGAUUAAAACUCAAAUGAAAUUGACGG
rnacentral:rRNA from 1 species